GCGGUAGUGGCGGAAUUGGUAGACGCAGUCGGUUUGGAACCGACCGGGCAGCCCCCCUAACAGGACAAGCUCCCAUGCGGGUUCAAAUCCCGCCUACCGCA
rnacentral:tRNA from 1 species